rnacentral:sRNA from 1 species
AAGUAACUAGUUAUUCUAACCAUAUCAUUACAAUAGAAUACAAUUUAUAAUAAUGUCAUAUCCUACUAUAUUAUUUGGGAAGUACAUUUUAAAUGUAACCUUAAUUUUUGUAAGUAAUUACAUAGGUAUGCUAUUAGAAAUAAAAAUUUAA